GAUGAACGCUGGCGGCGUGCCUAAUACAUGCAAGUCGAGCGAACGGACGAGAAGUUUGCUUCUCUGAUGUUAGCGGCGGACGGGUGAGUAACACGUGGAUAACCUACCUAUAAGACUGGGAUAACUUCGGGAAACCGGAGCUAAUACCGGAUAAUAUUUUGAACAGCAUGGUUCAAAAGUGAAAGACGGUCUUGCUGUCACUUAUAGAUGGAUCCGCGCUGCAUUAGCUAGUUGGUAAGGUAACGGCUUACCAAGGCGACGAUGCAUAGCCGACCUGAGAGGGUGAUCAGCCACACUGGAACUGAGACACGGUCCAGACUCCUACGGGAGGCAGCAGUAGGGAAUCUUCCGCAAUGGGCGAAAGCCUGACGGAGCAACGCCGCGUGAGUGAUGAAGGUCUUCGGAUCGUAAAACUCUGUUAUUAGGGAAGAACAUAUGUGUAAGUAUCUGUGCACAUCUUGACGGUACCUAAACAGAAAGCCACGGCUAACUACGUG
rnacentral:rRNA from 1 species